rnacentral:rRNA from 1 species
GAUGAACGCUGGCGGCGUGCCUAAUACAUGCAAGUCGAGCGAACAGAUAAUGAGCUUGCUCCUUUGACGUUAGCGGCGGACGGGUGAGUAACACGUGGGUAACCUACCUAUAAGACUGGAAUAACUCCGGGAAACCGGGGCUAAUGCCGGAUAACAUUUAGAACCGCAUGGUUCUAAAGUGAAAGAUGGUUUUUCUAUCACUUAUAGAUGGACCCGCGCCGUAUUAGCUAGUUGGUAAGGUAACGGCUUACCAAGGCAACGAUACGUAGCCGACCUGAGAGGGUGAUCGGCCACACUGGAACUGAGACACGGUCCAGACUCCUACGGGAGGCAGCAGUAGGGAAUCUUCCGCAAUGGGCGCAAGCCUGACGGAGCAACGCCGCGUGAGUGAUGAAGGUCUUCGGAUCGUAAAACUCUGUUAUUAGGGAAGAACAAAUGUGUAAGUAACUGUGCACGUCUUGACGGUACCUAAUCAGAAAGCCACGGCUAACUACGUG